rnacentral:rRNA from 1 species
AGCGAACGCUGGCGGCAGGCCUAACACAUGCAAGUCGAGCGCCCGUAGCAAUACGGGAGCGGCAGACGGGAUAGUAACACGUGGGAACGUACCCUUCAGUUCGGAACAACCCAGGGAAACUUGGGCUAAUACCGAAUACGUCCGUAAGGAGAAAGAUUUAUCGCUGAAGGAUCGGCCCGCGUCUGAUUAGCUAGUUGGUGAGGUAACGGCUCACCAAGGCGACGAUCAGUAGCUGGCUGAGAGGAUGAUCAGCAUCACUGGGACUGAGACACGGCCCAGACUCCUACGGGAGGCAGCAGUGGGGAAUAUUGGACAAUGGGCGCAAGCCUGAUCCAGCCAUGCCGCGUGGAUGAUGAAGGCCCUAGGGUUGUAAAAGUCCUUUCGGCGGGGGAAGAUAAUGACGGUACCCGCAGAAGAAGCCCCGGCUAACUUCGUGCCAGCAGCCGCAGU